rnacentral:rRNA from 1 species
CCUACGGGUGGCAGCAGUGGGGAAUAUUGCACAAUGGGGGAAACGCUGAUGCAGCGACGCCGCGUGAGGGAAGAAGGAAUUCGGUAUGGAAAGCUCUAUCAGCAGGGAAGAAAAUGACGGUACGUGAGGAAGAAGCCCCGGCUAACUACGUGCCAGCAGCCGCGGGAAUACGGAGGGGGCAAGCGUUAUCCGGAUUUACUGGGUGUAAAGGGAGCGUAGACGGCAGUGCAAGUCUGGAGUGAAAGGCGGGGGCUCAACCCCCGGACUGCUCUGGAAACUGUACGGCUGGAGUGCAGGAGAGGUAAGUGGAAUUCCUAGUGUAGCGGUGAAAUGCGUAGAUAUUAGGAGGAACACCAAUGGCGAAGGCAGUCUGCUGGACAGCAACUGACGGUGAGGCGCGAAAGCGUGGGGAGCAAACAGGAUUAGAUACCCUUGUAGUC